rnacentral:lncRNA from 1 species
GUUCACAUUAACGUGGAGAGAAAUAUACAACUUGCAAGUCGAGAAAGCAGUUUUUACUCAUAAAAUCCUUUGAUAGUUUAGCCAUCUGGUCAGAGUGAAGCUUCGCAUAAAGGAGGCCCAAGGAAGGUUAAAGGGCGCACUCUCUCAGGGUCAAGGGGGCCUACCGGGGUUUGCUCUGGGGGACGCCCCCUGAAAGGACGCCUGACAAAUUAUUGCGCAUUCCACAGCCUUUUGCGUAAGUAUUUGAUUACAGUGGGCGGGAAUGCUGUUGAUAUUUUCAAACCCGAGUCAGGGAGCGGGGGAGGAGGCGGCCUGCCCUGGACGGCUCUCUGGACGCAGUGCUCCCUGCCCAUGACCGCUCUUCGGACGUGGUGCUCCCUGCCCAUGGGCGCCCCGUCCUCGCCCUUUGCCGAGCCCUGCGCGGUGUCCCAGCCUUCAGAAGCCUUCUGGCUUGGCAAUGGGGUGAGGGAUUUUCAUCCCCUGUGGGGAGAAAAAAGGAGCCUGCUGCGUUACCCUGAAUGGCCAGGAAAGCCCCACUAGGAUUUUUCUCGAUGUUCAGCAAUAAAGUAGGAAAGGAAAUGGUAAUCCUUGGAGCUCUGUGCUCUUUCGGGUGUGAAUGUCAACAGAACGAAACGUAUUUAUGGCUUUAUUUCUCAGGCGGGGCAGGGGGGUGUGUGUGUGGGGUGUGUGUGUGUGUGUGUGUGUGUGUGUGUGUCAGAGACGGAAAGGAAUUUGAGGUGAUUAAGUGUCAUUUUCUCUAGAGGCCUGGACAGUAGCAGAGGACACGGCUGGAUUUUCUGGGGUCAUGGAUGGCACGGGGGCAGUGGGUGAAGAGCGGGUGUCUGCACAGCUCCAGGGUUCCCGGAAAGUGCCAGCAAGGCCCUCGCUGCACUGGAGACGAGAAGAAUGAAGACAGUAUCUACGAACACACUUCUUGUUUUUCUUCAGCUUCCGGGCCCGGGGGAAGGAACAGGUGCAGGCAGACGCAGCGGUCAGCCCCGGACGAGGCAAGGCUGUGAGCAGGCCCGGAGUUCCCGCAGACGGAGGAAGGGCUGUGGGAUCCGGGUGGUGGGAACCCCACUCUCCAAGUGUCCCCGGGAGGGACCAGAAAGUCCCUUGGGCCUUGUAAUAUCUUUUAUUGUGUUAUAAUACAUGUAAUGUAAAGCUUACCAUUUUAACUAUUAAAAAAAAUGUUUUAAUGUUUAUUUUAUUUUUGAAAGUCAGAGAGACUCAGCAUCAGCAGAGGAGGGGCAGAGAGAGAGGGAGACAUAGAAUCGGAAGCACGGUCCGGGCUCUGAGCUGUCCGCACGGAACCUGACGCAGGGCUCGAACUGAUGAACUGUAAGAUCAUGACCUGAGCACAAGUCAGACGCUUAACUGACUGAGCCAGCGA